rnacentral:rRNA from 1 species
UACGGAGGGUGCAAGCGUUAUCCGGAUUUAUUGGGUUUAAAGGGUACGUAGGCGGAAUAAUAAGUCAGUGGUGAAAUCCUGCGGCUCAACCGUAGAACUGCCAUUGAUACUGUUAUUCUUGAAUGUAGUUGAGGUAGGCGGAAUGUGUAAUGUAGCGGUGAAAUGCUUAGAUAUUACACAGAACACCGAUUGCGAAGGCAGCUUACUAAACUAUUAUUGACGCUGAUGUACGAAAGCGUGGGGAGCGAACAGG